rnacentral:rRNA from 1 species
GAUGAACGCUGGCGGCGUGCCUAAUACAUGCAAGUCGAGCGAACAGACGAGGAGCUUGCUCCUCUAACGUUAGCGGCGGACGGGUGAGUAACACGUGGAUAACCUACCUAUAAGACUGGGAUAACUUCGGGAAACCGGAGCUAAUACCGGAUAAUAUAUUGAACCGCAUGGUUCAAUAGUGAAAGACGGUUUUGCUGUCACUUAUAGAUGGAUCCGCGCCGCAUUAGCUAGUUGGUAAGGUAACAGCUUACCAAGGCAACGAUGCGUAGCCGACCUGAGAGGGUGAUCGGCCACACUGGAACUGAGACACGGUCCAGACUCCUAAGGGAGGCAGCAGUAGGGAAUCUUCCGCAAUGGGCGAAAGCCUGACGGAGCAACGCCGCGUGAGUGAUGAAGGUCUUCGGAUCGUAAAACUCUGUUAUUAGGGAAGAACAAAUGUGUAAGUAACUAUGCACGUCUUGACGGUACCUAAUCAGAAAGCCACGGCUAACUACGUG